CCUACGGGUGGCAGCAGUCGAGAAUCAUUCACAAUGGGGGAAACCCUGAUGCUGCGACGCCGCGUGGGGGAAUGAAGGUCUUCGGAUUGUAAACCCCUGUCAUGUGGGAGCAAAUUAAAAAGUAAGUACCACAUGAGGCAGAGACGGCUACCUCUGUGCAAGCAGCCGCGGUAAUACAUAGGUGUCAAGCGUUGUUCGGAUUCACUGGGCGUAACGCGCGCGUAGGCUGUUACGUAAGUCGUGUGUGAAAGGCGCCGGCUCAACCGGCGGACGGCACAUGAGACUGCGAGACUAGAGUAAUGGAGGGGGAAUCGGAAUUCUCGGUGUAGCAGUGAAAUGCGUAGAUAUCGGGAGGAACACUCGUGGCGAAGGCGGGUGCCUGGACAUUAACUGACGCUGAGGCGCGAAGGCCAGGGGAGCGAAAGGGAUUAGAUACCCUUGUAGUC
rnacentral:rRNA from 1 species